rnacentral:rRNA from 1 species
GAUGAACGCUAGCGGGAGGCUUAACACAUGCAAGGUCGAGGGGUAAAUGGUAGCAAUACUAUGAGACCGGCGGACGGGUGCGUAACGCGUAUGCAACAUACCUUGUGCAGGGGGAUAGCCCGUGGAAACGCGGAUUAAUAUUCCAUAGUCCAGCUAUAUCGCAUGGUAUAGUUGGUAAAGAUUUAUCGGCACAAGUUUGGCAUGCGUCUGAUUAGCUUGUUGGUAGGGUAACGGCCUACCAAGGCUACGAUCAGUAGGGGUUCUGAGAGGAUUAACCCCCACACUGGUACUGAGACACGGACCAGACUCCUACGGGAGGCAGCAGUGAGGAAUAUUGGUCAAUGGGCGGAAGCCUGAACCAGCCAUCCCGCGUGAAGGAAGACAGCCUUACGGGUUGUAAACUUCUUUUCUGUCAGAAGAAUAAGCUUGUCGAGACGAGUGAUGCCGGUAUGACAGGAAUAAGCAUCGGCUAACUCCGUG